UAGUAAACAUGGCUGCGUGAGGUCGUCAGUAAACAUAGCUGCGCCUAUGACGAUGCUGCAGGCAGCUGCCACGCAAGACUAAAUAAGCGCGCUGUGUUUGCUGAGGUGAUCUUGAUCGUGAAAAACGCUUUCCGAACAUUUGGAGGGACGCGUGGAAACUUCCAAGUCUGCCGAGAAACGCUGUGAGCGUGCCUCUACCGAAGCUGCACUUCACUGCCGCCGGCAGUGUUGGUCCGCUUUCAACGACUGCAGGAGACACGCAGAAGUGGACCGUCGUAUCCAGUAAAGAUUAAGAAGACGUUGAGAUGCUGGUCUCGGACCUUGCUGGGAAAUUCCUUGGGCCCUUUGGAACACUGCUAGCUCUAGCUCCUUGGAAAACAAAACAAAAACAUCAUUACACCUCAGGUUGACAGGCUGGCCCCUGAAGCAAUGUGGAUCAGUGACCGGAGCAGGGAUGCUGCCGCGUACUGCUGCUUGGCUCAGUGUGGACGAGUGCUGCAAUAAGGACACCAUCCGCCUUUGUGGACUUUUUCUGAAGGCGUUUAGUACACAUAAUUACUCAUUCUACUUGACAAGAAACUGUUGUGCAACAUAACCUUUGCUAACAUUUGAAAAUGCAAAAUGAAUCUAUCAAUUGCCAAAGCAAACCUGCUCCCAUGGAGACUUCAUAUUUACUUUGAAUAAAAAAAAAUCACAAAUACA